UGAAGGAACGUUGAAGACGACGACGUUGAUAGGCCGGGUGUGUAAGCGCAGCGAUGCGUUGAGCUAACCGGUACUAAUGAACCGUGAGGCUUAACCUUACAACGCCAAAGAAGU
rnacentral:rRNA from 1 species